UACGUAGGGUGCGAGCGUUAAUCGGAAUUACUGGGCGUAAAGCGUGCGCAGGCGGUUGUGCAAGACAGAUGUGAAAUCCCCGGGCUUAACCUGGGAACUGCAUUUGUGACUGCACAGCUAGAGUGUGUCAGAGGGGGGUAGAAUUCCACGUGUGAGCAGUGAAAUGCGUAGAGAUGAUGGAGGAAUACCGAUGGCGAAGGCAGCCCCCUGGGA
rnacentral:rRNA from 1 species